UGGUGAUGAAAAAUUGUACUUUACAUUAAGAAAAAAUAAGGUGUUAGUAGUGGGACACUUGUAAUCCACUGAAAAAACAAAUCCAGCCUAAAACCUUUAAUCGAGUGUGAACCGACAAGAAAACCAUUAGACGAUUUCAAUCCAGAACAAAACCCUAUUUCGAUUUCAAUCCCGACGAGAACAACAAACAAUCGUAUCUAAAAGAACAAAUUAGCAAACGCAGAAGAAAACCCUAAUUCGAAUAAAAUCCCCAAUCCCAUUUACUCAAUCCAGAACCUGUAAUCGCGUCUAUAACAACACACCAUCGCGUCGAAAAGAAGAAAAUAGCAAACCCAGACAAAAACCCUAAUUCGAUUGAAAUCCCCAAUCCCAUUUCAAACCCUAAUUCUAUUUAAACCCCACAAUCGAACCCUUUCAACCGAUGAAAUGAACAUGCAUCAAGCCCAGAAGAAAAAUUAACAGACAGAGACGCCGGAUUUACCUUCGACAAUGACGAUCACGAUUCGCCCCUCUAUCGCCUCCGUCACGUCUCUGGUUUUUUUUUUCCUUGGGUCGAACAAAUGAUUUUCUUCGCGUUUUUUUUUCACUCCCUCCACCAAAAACAAACGUGACUCCAGCCACUCACGUAACGCCAGCGCAUUACGGACUCCGUCCUUUUAAUCCUUAAUUUAGGAUUCAUCCUUAGCUUAAUCGAUAUUUUUAAUGUUUAUUUAAUCAGAAAAAGCUAAGGAUUACACUUAAGGAUUGACUAACAACCCGCGUUGUACAUGCUCUAAGUAGUAUGAUGGUGGUGAAGAGCCGUAAACAUAUAGUGCUAGAGAAGACGUAUAGUUAAUCUUUGUUGAUGAGAAGGAAUAUGGUGGUGUUGGUGAGAAACUGUAGAUAUAUAGUAUUGGAGGAGAUUUGUAGUCUAUUUUUCGUGAUGGAAAAUAGUACGGAGGUAGUAGAAAAUUGUGGAUAUAACAGUAGCGGAGGAGUGUUGUAUUCUACCUUCGGAGAUGGUGAAUAUGAUGGGAGUGGUGGCAAGCUAUAUGUAUAUGGUUCAUAGGCAGCAACCAGUGUCGCCAUGAUGGUAACGCUUAGAGCGUAAAUGAGAUGGGCUGAAGGCAUGCUAGAGGAAGAUCUCAUAUUUGUGAUUUAUUUUUCUCUACCUACGUUGGUUGAUUUUUCUUGUUUU
rnacentral:lncRNA from 1 species